rnacentral:rRNA from 1 species
AUUGAACGCUGGCGGCAGGCCUAACACAUGCAAGUCGAGCGGAUGAAGGGAGCUUGCUCCUGGAUUCAGCGGCGGACGGGUGAGUAAUGCCUAGGAAUCUGCCUGGUAGUGGGGGAUAACGUCCGGAAACGGGCGCUAAUACCGCAUACGUCCUGAGGGAGAAAGUGGGGGAUCUUCGGACCUCACGCUAUCAGAUGAGCCUAGGUCGGAUUAGCUAGUUGGUGGGGUAAAGGCCUACCAAGGCGACGAUCCGUAACUGGUCUGAGAGGAUGAUCAGUCACACUGGAACGGAGACACGGUCCAGACUCCUACGGGAGGCAGCAGUGGGGAAUAUUGGACAAUGGGCGAAAGCCUGAUCCAGCCAUGCCGCGUGUGUGAAGAAGGUCUUCAGAUUGUAAAGCACUUUAAGUUGGGAGGAAGGGCAGUAAGUUAAUACCUUGCUGUUUUGACGUUACCAACAGAAUAAGCACCGGCUAACUUCGUG